CCUACGGGUGGCAGCAGUGAGGAAUAUUGGUCAAUGGGCGCGAGCCUGAACCAGCCAAGUAGCGUGAAGGAUGACUGCCCUACGGGUUGUAAACUUCUUUUAUCAAGGAAUAAAGUGAGGCACGUGUGCCUUUUUGUAUGUACUUUAUGAAUAAGAAUCGGCUAACUCCGUGCCAGCAGCCGCGGUAAUACGGAGGAUCCGAGCGUUAUCCGGAUUUAUUGGGUUUAAAGGGAGCGUAGAUGGGUUGUUAAGUCAGGUGUGAAAGUUUGCGGCUCAACCGUAAAAUUGCAAUUGAUACUGGAAGUCUUGAGUACAGUGGAGGUAGGCGGAAUUCGUGGUGUAGCGGUGAAAUGCUUAGAGAUCACGAAGAACUCCGAUUGCGAAGGCAGCUUACUAAACUGCCACUGACAUUGAGGCUCGAAAGUGUGGGUAUCAAACAGGAUUAGAUACCCCUGUAGUC
rnacentral:rRNA from 1 species